GGCCUUCGCUAAUUUAUUUUAAAAUGCACUAGAAUGGUAUCAAACGGGAUUGAAUGUGCGAGCUCUUGGAAAAUAUCUUUUUGCUAUUACCCGUUUAUUUUUCAUGCCGAUUAAAAUAGAUUCGCUAUGAUGGACGCGUGUUUAGCUUUUCCGAUUCGCAUUCGUGUUUCCAAGUGUAAGUGCUUUGUUCGGAAAGUUCAAGAGUGGAUACUUUGGAAUGGCAACAACAUUCGACCUCUGCGCUGACAAAUUUAGCUUCACACCACUAACAUUUUUAUAAACCAUCAAUUUAUCAUACGCAUUCUUCGCGAUUGCUUGGGGCAGUCAGCUCCAGCUGCUUAUUCAAUUAAUAUUUACAUAUCUGUCUGGUCUGGUCAGUUCAAAGUCUGGCGAGCCUCAGUUGUUCUUCCCGGUCCUCGAUCUCUCGUUUUCGUAUGCUGGACAAUUUUUCCUCGUUUUCCGUUUUCCACCCACGUGCCGAGCAUUGUUAAACCGCCAAAAAUACACUUCCUAGUAACACCGAUUUUAUUGUCAUCAACGUUAUUUGCCACUCUAAAAAUAUAUGCUGCCAGAACGAGAGGUAACCCGUGUAUUUUAAAAGCACGUUUCCGGAAAAUACGUGAUCCUCAGACGGAACUUUAACCGCCGGCGAACUACGGAGUGAUCCAAAUUUGGCCGUAUUCCUGCGAAAUGACUUUUCGCUGUAGAACGAGGCAAAACG